rnacentral:rRNA from 1 species
GACGAACGCUGGCGGCGUGCUUAACACAUGCAAGUCGAACGGAAAGGCCCUGCUUUUGUGGGGUGCUCGAGUGGCGAACGGGUGAGUAACACGUGAGUAACCUGCCCUUGACUUUGGGAUAACUUCAGGAAACUGGGGCUAAUACCGGAUAGGAGCUCCUGCUGCAUGGUGGGGGUUGGAAAGUUUCGGCGGUUGGGUAUGGACUCGCGGCUUAUCAGCUUGUUGGUGGGGUAGUGGCUUACCAAGGCUUUGACGGGUAGCCGGCCUGAGAGGGUGACCGGCCACAUUGGGCCUGAGAUACGGCCCAGACUCCUACGGGAGGCAGCAGUGGGGAAUAUUGCACAAUGGGCGGAAGCCUGAUGCAGCAACGCCGCGUGCGGGAUGACGGCCUUCGGGUUGUAAACCGCUUUCGCCUGUGACGAAGCGUGAGUGACGGUAAUGGGUAAAGAAGCACCGGCUAACUACGUG